UAUGUGUUUGUAUGUUUCUUAAUCCCAUCUACUAGGUGAUUACAAAACUCAUUCAAAGUUGAACACAGUAGAGGUAUUUCAAGUUGCUUUAGAGAGAGAAUUACACACACACAAAAAAUCUUUAGGAGCCAGACAACCACUGUGGACACCAAUAAGAGAGCUCCAACAUUGGUGAGGUAUAGACCCGUCAAAGUUGUUGGUAAUAACAGCAAGGUCCAUCUGGCAAGAUUGGUCACCUGUGGUGGAAGUGGUGGUGACAGCAGGGAUGCAACUGCAGCAAUCAAUGAUGAUGAUCUCACUAGGGUGGGGAGGUGUUAAAGGCAUCUUCACAGCAGCACAGUGCCCAGAAUGCCAAAGAGCAGCAGGAUGGAUCCAGCAUCCUCUCCUGAUAAAAGAGGGCUAGAAGACGGGAGGCUCCGGGAAGUCUACUGGAGUCAUGAAGACACUGAAAAGUGAUGAAUCCACAUAACCAUGACACUGGAAAUGAAGUUUGAGUGGCAGUCAGAAUCUGGGAGGAAGCAUUGCUAAGUGAAAAUCUUAUGGAGCUUGACUAAAAAUCCCUGUCAGGAACCGUCAAAAGCUGUGUCCCUGACAUGAAAAAUCUUGCUGGAAGUUGAGAGAGGUUUAUGCCUACUCCGUGAUCCGGGAACACAAGACCUUUACCAACCAAAAAAGUGGAUAGCUGUUCUUCUGCUGUGAAGGUUAAUAAAGAACGCCAGAAGUGCCAAGCAAUUAACAACCCCAGAAGCAACCCUUAACCAAUGAUUAAAUAAAGUGGAUGAUUACAUACCCAAGCUCCUUCAACUCCCAGGGACAUAAUUCUGAGGUGGGUGUAUGUUUAUCCCUUUUUCAAGAACUUCCCCGAAGGAUUAAGCUUCAGUCACCCACUGGGAUGGAAAACAAACUGAAACUGGCUCAAGUGAAUGCUCACUGGAAGGCUUACUGGAAAACUUACUGGAAGGAUGUGAGGACAUGUUCGGGAAUCUAUUUGCAGAAAACAUAUUCAGCCCUGUCCACCACAGCCAGCUGGCUGAAGAGCUCAAAAGGCAAGAAAUCAGCAAGAGAGAGAGAUGAAGCAUGAGAAAUGAGCAAAAAACACCCAGCACAUCAUAAUCUUGGACAGUUUAGCAGUACAUGAAAAUAGAUGGUCCUCGCCCCAAGGGACUGCAGUAACCCUGAAUAAACAGGAUGUCUCUCACUUUUAGCAGUUCUUUCUGUGCUAGUAUUGGGGAAAUAUAUUUUUGGCUGCAUGCAAAAUGGUAAAAGACAUCUAUUAAGAAAAUGAAAACAAUGCUUCUGUUUUAGACGAAGCUUUUGAAGGUUUAAGGAUCACCUAUUUAUUGACAAAAUUGUUUCCGUGGCUUAAAAAUAAAAUACAAACAAAUACUACAGGUAUUCUUGCCUUCUCAUUCUACUUAAAAUCACAUUUCCAAAGACUUUCUUCUCUACUUAAAAACAGGAAUUAAGAAAUACUCAAAAGAGAUCCUAGACAAAACUAACAUUUCAGCAACCAAAGAUAAAUCAUGCUUUUAGAGGAAGAUGCUAGGUUCUAGAAUCUCUCUGAACACCGUGUAGCACUAAGAAACUACAAUCACUGGCUGAGACCUUGAUCAAAUAAUGGCUAACAUAUAAGAUGCUUAUUCUAGUCAGGCACACUUCUAAGAGCUGUAUAUCUGCUAAUUCAUUUAUUCUCCUAGGAUAUAAAGGAUCAGCAGAUCCUUCAGGCUCUGGUAUGUUCUGAGAUGAGUUAACCCAGAAAUUGUCAUCAAAAGACAGAUUCAGCAAAACGGAAA
rnacentral:lncRNA from 10 species